GGGAAAUUUGGAUGUUCAGUGUCUGUUUCUGGAGGCUGUAUGGUAAAAGACUGGUGGUAUGAAACGAGUUCUUAUGGAGAAGAUUCCCCACAGGUUUACAGAAAGAAGCCUACACUAUGAAGAAUAGAAAGCUCAGUUCCUGUGAUUAUGAUUGUCAUUUAAUGAGUUGAAAUACAUGUCAUGGCACGUGGUAGAUUCAAUUUCCCAGAUCUUUGGGGCAUAAGCAUAUAGCUUUUCAGUCAAUACAUGAAAGUUACAGGGGUCAAUAAAAGACAGCUCCUGGUCAAA